rnacentral:lncRNA from 1 species
AAGAAAGAAAAGAAAGAAAAGAAGGAAAAGAAGGUGAAGAAGAAGAUCAAGUAGUGAGCCUACCUCUUCUUCUUCCUCCUUGGAGCAACUUAGGGAAAGCUUUGAGGUAAGCUUUGAUCCCUAGUAUAGUAAAACCCUAUAAUGAGUUUUGAAUGACCUAGAAAUGGGUUUUAAUGGAAUGUUUGAAGAGUUUUGAAGCUUUCUUUUGCUUCUUUAGAGAUCAAAACCUAGAAAAGCUCAAAGGUGAGCUUCAACCCACCUCUCAUGGUGAAAUCCAAACUAG